rnacentral:rRNA from 1 species
UACAGAGGUCUCAAGCGUUGUUCGGAUUCAUUGGGCGUAAAGGGUGCGUAGGCGGCGCGGUAAGUCGGGUGUGAAAUCUCGGAGCUUAACUCCGAAACUGCAUUCGAUACUGCCGUGCUUGAGGACUGGAGAGGAGACUGGAAUUUACGGUGUAGCGGUGAAAUGCGUAGAUAUCGUAAGGAAGACCAGUGGCGAAGGCGGGUCUCUGGGCAGUUCCUGACGCUGAGUGAGCGAAAGCCAGGGGAGCAAACGGG